rnacentral:rRNA from 1 species
UUAUCUGCUCAGGACGAACGCUGGCGGCGUGCCUAAUACAUGCAAGUCGAGCGGACAGAUGGGAGCUUGCUCCCUGAUGUUAGCGGCGGACGGGUGAGUAACACGUGGGUAACCUGCCUGUAAGACUGGGAUAACUCCGGGAAACCGGGGCUAAUACCGGAUGGUUGUUUGAACCGCAUGGUUCAGACAUAAAAGGUGGCUUCGGCUACCACUUACAGAUGGACCCGCGGCGCAUUAGCUAGUUGGUGAGGUAACGGCUCACCAAGGCGACGAUGCGUAGCCGACCUGAGAGGGUGAUCGGCCACACUGGGACUGAGACACGGCCCAGACUCCUACGGGAGGCAGCAGUAGGGAAUCUUCCGCAAUGGACGAAAGUCUGACGGAGCAACGCCGCGUGAGUGAUGAAGGUUUUCGGAUCGUAAAGCUCUGUUGUUAGGGAAGAACAAGUGCCGUUCAAAUAGGGCGGCACCUUGACGGUACCUAACCAGAAAGCCACGGCUAACUACGUGCCAGCAGCCGCGGUAAUACGUAGGUGGCAAGCGUUGUCCGGAAUUAUUGGGCGUAAAGGGCUCGCAGGCGGUUUCUUAAGUCUGAUGUGAAAGCCCCCGGCUCAACCGGGGAGGGUCAUUGGAAACUGGGGAACUUGAGUGCAGAAGAGGAGAGUGGAAUUCCACGUGUAGCGGUGAAAUGCGUAGAGAUGUGGAGGAACACCAGUGGCGAAGGCGACUCUCUGGUCUGUAACUGACGCUGAGGAGCGAAAGCGUGGGGAGCGAACAGGAUUAGAUACCCUGGUAGUCCACGCCGUAAACGAUGAGUGCUAAGUGUUAGGGGGUUUCCGCCCCUUAGUGCUGCAGCUAACGCAUUAAGCACUCCGCCUGGGAGACUCCGU